AUGCCGAAAGUCAGCAUGGUGCAAACGCAUCAGCGGAGCCAACUGCUACUGAUCCUGCCUACUUUUGCCGCAGCUUAUAGCCACCACCCAACCCCCAGACUGAAAAAGAUAUUUUACAUCAGUAUGCAGUGGUGGCAAGAAACUGUGAUGUGGAAAGUGUCUGGAUCUUUAAGUUUUAUCUCACAUUAUUUGGCAUUGCUUGCCUAUCUGCUUUGAGAUACGUCUGUUACAACAGCCAACUAUGUAACAGGUGAAUGGUUACUAUCUACACAGGAAAAAACCCACUGUGUUGUGGUUGCACAUUGAGCAGAUUCAAGGCAGUUUACAACUGGGGCUGUUUAUAGUGGAUUCUGCUGCCUUUGUUUGUUGGCUGUCAGGACUGUAGCAAAACGCCUUCCACAAUCCUGGGAAAGGUAGUUUGUUAUGGGUGCUGGAAAUUCUAACUCUGUGAGAAGCAAACUAUAGUUCCCAGGAUUAUUUGGUAGAAACAAUUUGCUUUAAAUGGGAUGUGACAAUCAACAGCCUCUUAUUCUUGGCCCUUUCUUUGUCAAGGAGGGUUACUCAAUGCAUGCUCCAAUUUCAGACCGAGUUUUCCAGUCCCAGUGGAACCGGAACAUGGGUGGAAUAGCACAAUGACAUCACCUGCAGAGUAACUCUAGAUGUGACAGGGAAAGGGGAAGGUGGAGACAUGAGGCUGAUGCUAGGUGAUUGCUCCCCAUCUGCCAAAACAUCUGGCUCCACGUUGGUUCCCAUAUAACGAAGGAGCUGUUGGGUGCAAUCUUUUUCUUCCUUUUCUUUUUGUAGUAGAACAAUUGUUUCAGGGCCUGUGCAUCCGUGAAGUGGUAUAGGUGAAUAUAAAAGAGGGGAGAUUCAGCUUCUUCUUCUUCUUUAUCAUCUUUAUUAAUUUAAAAUACAAUUUAAAAUACAAUCAUACAAUAAAGGUAAGUACAACAGAGUUAAGCACAAAAAGAAAAAAAAGAAAAAAGAAAAGAAGGACAAAAAAGAAUUUAACAGUAGCAAGAAAAUGUCAAUUGAAAAAGAAAACCAAAUAUUUAUACAACAUCAUGUCUGAUCCAAUAAAGUCUUCUAUGAAAAACUUCCAAUCGUUUUCAUUAUACUUUUUCUAUUGUCUUGAUUUU
rnacentral:lncRNA from 1 species